rnacentral:rRNA from 1 species
UACAGAGGUCUCAAGCGUUGUUCGGAUUUAUUGGGCGUAAAGGGUGCGUAGGUGGCGCGCUAAGUCAGGUGUGAAAUUUCGGAGCUUAACUCCGAAACUGCAUUUGAUACUGGCGUGCUUGAGGACUGGAGAGGAGACUGGAAUUCAUGGUGUAGCAGUGAAAUGCGUAGAGAUCAUGAGGAAGACCAGUGGCGAAGGCGGGUCUCUGGACAGUUCCUGACACUGAGGCACGAAGGCCAGGGGAGCAAACGGG